rnacentral:rRNA from 1 species
UAGGGAAUCUUCGGCAAUGGACGGAAGUCUGACCGAGCAACGCCGCGUGAGUGAAGAAGGUUUUCGGAUCGUAAAGCUCUGUUGUUAGAGAAGAACGUUGGUAGGAGUGGAAAAUCUACCAAGUGACGGUAACUAACCAGAAAGGGACGGCUAACUACGUGCCAGCAGCCGCGGUAAUACGUAGGUCCCGAGCGUUGUCCGGAUUUAUUGGGCGUAAAGCGAGCGCAGGCGGUUCUUUAAGUCUGAAGUUAAAGGCAGUGGCUUAACCAUUGUACGCUUUGGAAACUGGAGGACUUGAGUGCAGAAGGGGGGAGUGGAAUUCCAUGUGUAGCGGUGAGAUGCGUAGAUAUAUGGAGGAACACCGGUGGCGAAAGCGGCUCUCUGGUCUGUAACUGACGCUGAGGCUCGAAAGCGUGGGGAGCAAACAGG